AGAUGUUCCAGCUAAGUAUGCUUGCGAAUACUGGUCAUACGACCAAAGUUAAAAGGGUCAAAAAGACUUGUGCUCAUGAACAUAGCGCUUUGUUAUUGUUGAAGAAGUCCAAGGGCAGCCAUGUUAAGACAAUUUGCAUGAAAUCGACUGCAUCUACAAUUAAAUCCCAAACAGCUAAUUUUCAGAACAUUCCAACAAAUGAUAAACAAAAGGUCCUAUUAAAGAAUUCUUUGGAAUGCAAUAGCGGAACAGAUAUUCAAAUUGGUCAAAACUACAAUGCCGACGACCUGUUAUAUAGGCCUCGGGAAAGUCAUAUAGACAAACUUCUCUAUCAAAUUAAAGCUAGUUGCAAGUUAUCUUAUUAUAAACGCCGCAGAACCCGUAAACCGAUCUCUUAUUAUCCAAACUCUACUGCUACACAUCAUAUCCUAUUAUCCGGUGAUAUUGAGAUAAACCCAGGCCCACAACAAAAGUCGGCAAAAUGUCGUGUCUGUGAAAAAACAGUUAAAUCGAACCAUAAACGCUUUCUCUGCGAUAUAUGCCAAGAUCUAACGCAUGCUAUAUGCACUGGUCUGACACAAAUAAAGCAAAUACGUGCCUGUACACCAAAUAAUUGGAUAUGUUCCCAUUGUAUCAGUUCGAUACUACCAUUUCAUACUGAACGGUCUAUAGAUUUUGAUAACUCUAUAGGCGAGAUUCAUAACAGUUCCUUAAUGUCUACACCGAACAGCGAUAUCCAUCUAUCCGAACUCGAAUCUCGACAGAAAUUAUUACGAGUCGCCCAUUUAAACACUCAGUCUAUGACUUCAACAUUUGACAACUUUCGCCUUACGAUUGAGACAUACCCAUUGGACAUCUUUUGUUUAAGCGAAACUUGGCUUAAAGAUAACAAGUUACUGCUGCAAUAUGUUAACAUCCC
rnacentral:lncRNA from 1 species